CAGCCGCCGCGGUAAUACGAAGGGGGCUAGCGCUGCUCGGAAUGACUGGGCGUAAAGGGCGCGUAGGCGGCUGACACAGUCAGAUGUGAAAUUCCUGGGCUCAACCUGGGGACUGCAUUUGAGACGUGUUGGCUUGAGUGGAGAAGAGGGUCGUGGAAUUUCCAGUGUAGAGGUGAAAUUCGUAGAUAUUGGAAAGAACACCGGUGGCGAAGGCGGCGACCUGGUCUUUAACUGACGCUGAGGCGCGAAAGCGUGGGGAGCAAACAGGAUUAGAUACCCCCGUAGUCCCUGUCUCUUAUAA
rnacentral:rRNA from 1 species